AUGUACUACUUUGACAAUCUUGAGAAAACCCCAUUCAAUUAUGUUAUGGGAGACACGUUGGAUCAACGUGAAUACUUUAGGGAUUAUUGCUUGACACAAAAAGGGAAACUAUUAUGGGAUCAAAUUUCUAUGUUGCGAUGGUAUGCUCGUCAACUAUGCUUGAUACAUGAUUAUACUUGUUGCUCUAGGAUGAAGUCUCCACACCUUCCCUUUUCAUGCAAAUUUAAUGAUAAUGAAACCUUAGCUUCUUAUGCUAAUGGUAUAUAUGAUUACUAUGAUGUUGAAAAAAUAGAAGAAUUUGUUGCUUUUAAGGCUGCUUAUGAAAUUGAAUCUUUGUUUGAAAAGUAUGAAGCUUUUGAUGAUGAUGGUGUUUAUAGGACUAAAAAUCUUGCUAUACUUAGAUAUUGCUAUGAAAAUUAUGAAUACAAUCACUUUAUUAAUGCAUUUAUUGAGAAAGUCUCCGCUGUCCAAGAAGAGACUAAUAUUUUGCAGGAAACUAUGGAAGAAGAAAUUGAUUAA
rnacentral:rRNA from 1 species